UCCCCUGUGGCUCAGUGGCAGAGAACCUGCCUGCCAAUGCAGGAGGCCCAGGUUCGAUCCCUGGCUGGGAAG
rnacentral:tRNA from 1 species